rnacentral:lncRNA from 1 species
AGGGGCUGAAUGCAACGCACAGUGCGGAUCUGGUAGCCUGAAUUCCCACAGGUUUUUGUGCAGUAUUCCCACUCAUCUGCUGCCCACAGAGGCCGUGUGCAUUCCUGAAGAUUGCACAUUCUACGAAUGGGCUUUGGCUUUUUGCUGGCUUCACAGAAGCUGCGAUGAACCAUUUUGUUAUCACUUUUCCUGCGGCACCCAUAUUUCGUAUAUUGGAACCCUCCACCACAGGGUUUGGAGCACUGUGACCAACUUUUCAACGCCCACUCAAAAGUAUCUAUUUCCUCCUGUAGGACGUUGUUGCUGUUGAUAGUUGGUACUGAAUCUUCGUGAAUGAUGUAUUUGUAAGUCAGGCUAGAUCUUGUGUCAUUCUCCCGAGGAAUGAUCAGGACAACUACUGCAUCAUGCAAAGGCCCAUCAGUGUGCAGAGUUUCAAUGUCGUCUUCUAUAUUGUAUUCCCAUUCCACACCCAGGUCGAUGAAAGAUCGGGAUCUGGCCUCCUCCCCUUUUCCAUUCAGAAUAUAGUGUCCUGUAGCCUGGUUCUUAAUUGCCAGAGUAUUUUUAGACUCCUUUGUUUCAGAAAGGGAAAUAUUGCGAGCUCCUUUGGGCAAUGUAAAUGCUCCUCUCGUCUUCCAGAUUUCAUUUUCCAGAAACUUGAAUUCUUUUUGGCACCUCUUGCUUAAAUGUUUUCCAAGCUUUUUGGGAGUGCGGGUAAAGGUUCCUUUCACAGUUCG